rnacentral:rRNA from 1 species
UACAGAGGGGGCAAGCGUUAUUCGGAAUUAUUGGGCGUAAAGGGCGCGUAGGCGGCUUUGCAAGUGACGGGUGAAGGCCCUCGGCUUAACCGAGGAACUGCCUGUCAGACUGUAAGGCUUGAGACCGGGAGAGGUGAGUGGAAUUCCCAGUGUAGCGGUGAAAUGCGUAGAUAUUGGGAGGAACACCAGUGGCGAAGGCGGCUCACUGGACCGGAACUGACGCUGAGGCGCGAAAGCGUGGGGAGCAAACAGG